CUUCCUUUUUUGGCGGUUUUACCUCGUAGUAACUUUCCAGAAAAACGAAAGGGUUAUGAUGAGAGAUUGUCAGUAAAUAUGAUAUUGUUUAUUUGACAAGAUUGGCUGUGAAGCAUUCUCAUUUAAAUCACUGAUUUAGCUGUGGUAUCGUUGUAUCCGAAUUCGAAUCCGAUAUAAAUACUCGUGACAAGCAUGGUUCGGUAGCAGCGAAUGCUAUGCUAUCUCGUCCAUAAACGUUGCAUAUACUAUUCAGAAAUCAGCAUCGUUUAAGACGGUUUGUAGGUAGGGUAAAGUUUGCAGCGAAGGCUUUGCCGAUUAUUUUACUGUGAGGUUAACAUUACCAAAGUACAUUGUUAAGUUGGAUGUUAAGGUGUCAGCUGGCAUGGUAAGAGGCAUGAAAUCGCGGCCACUCUGCUUCGUUGUGGUGACACACGCAUCGGAUUAAACUGCAUGUAAACGUACUAGUACGUCUAAACUAAUAACUAGUAUGUUUACAUGCAUGGCAUAUCAGAGAAUUCUGUCAUUUCGGUCGCGGGGCAACGAAUGAAUAAAGAUCGUUAGCACCCUGAAAAACAGAUGACAGAUGUGCCCGAAGUUACUACUUUAUUACCUCCUUGGGUGAAAUCGAAGCGUAGUGUGUACUGAAUGCGUGUUGAUGAUGAUGCAUAUGAAUUGCAACUUACACGUCUUCCAAACCUUUUCAGUACCCUGGCACAUGCUUUGUCCAAUGGACCAUGGAAGGGACUUUACUUGGCUGACGAGGACGCACCUCACCAGUAUCAGAGCAACAGCUGUGGGGUGUUUAUGCUGAUGUACGCAAUGUAUUCUACCCUCAAAAGCAAUAUGAUUUCAGUGAGGGGGACAUGCUCUCUAUCAGGAGGUGGUGGUGUGGACAGCUGUUGGAGACCUUUAUGCUUGAAAGCCCUGCAGAACUAGCUGGCUCCUUCUCACCCUCUCCAUCUCCCCAUCUCAGUCACACCUUCCAAUCACUAAGCAGUGAAAGCCCUGCAGGACUAGCUGGCACACCAAGCUCACCCUCUCCAUCUCCCCAUCUCAGUCACACGCUCCAAUCUGGCACAACAGAGGACAGGCCAUUCUUACCACCCGAAGUCCUUCAGCAAUUUGUACAAGAGACGCUGAGACUGGACAUGGCGAUGCUUGGCGUGUUCAACAGGGUUUCAAACACAUUCCGAGAACUAAUCAAGCCUCUCCAUCCUUCCAUAUAUAUAAAUGACAGUUUGGCAGGGGACAUUAAGCUUAAUAAAGACAAUCUCAUAUACAUAACGGUUAGAAAGAUUUACAACAAUGCAGGCUGUGGCAGUGGCCUUGCGCUACGCCUCAAAGGCUUCUCAAAAAAGAAUUGGCCAAGCGCACCUCUGGUACUGAGGCACGUUGCAUAUGGCAGGUUUGUCAUAAAAGAUGUCUGCCUAGCAUAAUGUUCUUCUAUUACUCCUUUUUCGUUUUAUUUGGGACGUCAUUUUUUGCAAUCCCUUUCAUUUGUAAAUGUACAUACUACUGUAGUAAAUGUAUCUGCCCAGAAAUGCUGGUAUUUUAUUACUCCUUUCUUUUUUGUUUUUGUGACAAAUGCUAUACGAUGUAUAACAUGCAUUUGUGCCUAUGAUGUAUGUUGUAAGGUUAAUUGUUACAGAGCAAUUACUGUAUUUUGUCUUUAUUGAAAACAUUCAGUGGGAAAAGUAAGUGAACACUUGGAGUCAAAUGGUCUACUGUUUGAGCCUUCAUAGUGUCUGGUAACUGGAUUUGAACUGCAUAAUGUCCCAAGUGUUAUUUUAAUCUAUUCAUUAUUUAAUUUGGGCAUAUUCUUAAACAACUAUAUCAAACAUCUCACUUAUAUCUAAUACCCUACCUAUACUAACCCAGAAGAUAAUGAACAUGAGAUCAUGGAGCCUCCCUGUAAUGAUCGUGUUGCAUCAAGUUUGAUGCAAAGUUUGGGCCGAGAUCCGACGCAUAAAUGUAAGCUAACAUUCUGUAGGCCUAGCUGGCUAACGUACCCGUAUAACAAGAUCGAAGAAGAAGGGGGCGCUAACGUCAGUUUUAUGCUGCCCAUACUACUAGAUCGACGAAGAAGAACUGGGCGUUCCAGCCUGCGUAAACGAGAACGCCGGGGGGGCGUUUUAGUCUGCGUGAACGAGAACGCCCAUUUGUGUCUGCAGUCGGAUGAUAUUGUUUCCAACAGGACUUCGCACUUGCCCACACUGCCCAGAGUACCAAUAGCUGGUUUAAUGACCAUAGCUCUGCUUGAUUGGCCAGAAAAAUCGCCUGACCUGAACCCCAUAGAAAAUGUAUGGGGUAUUGUCAAGAGGAAGAUGAGAAACACGAGACCCAAUAAUGCAGACGCGCUUAAGGCCGCUGUCGAAGUCACCUGGGCUUCCAUAACACCUCAGCCGGGCCGAAGGCUGAUCGACUCCAUGCCACUCUGCAUUGAUGCAGUAAUUCAUGCAAAAGGUGUACCAACCAAUUGCUGAUUACAUAUACAAGACAUUUCCGGAUAAAAAUCUUUUUACUGGUGUAAUGUGAUAUAUUUAAGAUACUGCAUUUGGGGGAUAUGAGCUGUAAGCCAUAUUCAAGAUUAAUACAAAUAAAGGCUUGAAGUAUUUCCCUUUCGGUAUAAUGAAUCUGAGUUUCAAUUCGGUUAAAAUUGAAUUUAUUUAUUUUUCCACUAUAUUCUAAUUCACUCCAAUUCUAGCUGCACCUUCAUUUUUAUUUAGGUUUUAUUGUAAUGAAUAAACAUAUACAGAAGGCUAUACAAGGACAAACAAACAGUUAUAUACAUAGAGCUGUUACCGGCUCAUCAAAAUACAAGGAAUGAAUGUGCAAAUAAUGGUUUGGUUUCAAAAGUGAUGUUUGCACAUGUUAAUGUACCAUCUGGUAAAAUAAAUGGAACGCAGGUUUCAUUACUGAUCAAUAAUGUCUUGUCCCAAAACUGACCCAUGGGCUGAUCUAAUGAAGAAAUUACCUGAAUUCACAACAGGAACUCCAUCUGGCUGGACUGAACAUGGUUGCAAUACCCUUGAGAAAGGUUAACAUGCAUUUCUGAAAAAAUUUAAUCCAUCUGUAAGCUAUGGAAAGAAUAAUUUUCAAUGUCAUGGUGCGUAUCAGAAACAAUAAAAGAGACCAUCAGCCAGUCAUAAAAACAAACAUGAAUUGGAGUUUAUUUGUUUUCUUUUCCUUAUCUGCCGCUACGCAGAAGCAGAUUUUCACAGUUCUACAGUUCUUCCAGAGAAACACCAA